GACGAACGCUGGCGGCGUGCUUAACACAUGCAAGUCGAACGGAAAGGCCCUGCUUGCAGGGUACUCGAGUGGCGAACGGGUGAGUAACACGUGGGUGAUCUGCCCUGCACUUCGGGAUAAGCUUGGGAAACUGGGUCUAAUACCGGAUACGAGCCAUCUUUAGUGUGGUGGUUGGAAAGUUUUUUCGGUGUAGGAUGAGCUCGCGGCCUAUCAGCUUGUUGGUGGGGUAAUGGCCUACCAAGGCGGCGACGGGUAGCCGGCCUGAGAGGAUGUACGGCCACAUUGGGACUGAGAUACAGCCCAGACUCCUACGUGAGGCAGCAAUGGGGAAUAUUGCACAAUGGGCGCAAGCCUGAUGCAGGGACGCCGCGUGGGGGAUGAAGGCCUUUGGGUUGUAAACUCCUUUCGCUAGGGACGAAGCUUUGUUGUGACGGUACCUAGAUAAGAAGCACCGGCUAACUACGUG
rnacentral:rRNA from 1 species